GUUUGGAUAUUUUGUAGUGGCAUUAGAGAGGAUGUCUAUGGUAUUUACAGCAACUGUGAUGGUGAAGAACUACUUAUUAUGCAGAAGAAGGGGAGAGAGGUCAUAAUUGGAGAAAAAAAACGGAGCAGAUUGAUGGGAGUGUCAUCUCUUAGGGAAGUUUAGGGCCAGAAAGAUUCCCAAAUCCCUGAAACUAAGAAAAAACAAGUUUUCUGUAAUAAUUAAUAAAAUAUUAAACAACACAGCUAUACGACAUGCGACCCAACCCAAGUUCCAUUUUACACUUUAGGCUGCAAGAGCUUGAACUGGGGUCUGGGAGCUAUUUCUAAAUUUAUCAGCUCAUUGACUCUCUCCCAAGGAUAUCCCUUUCUUUCUUUUUGAUAACUGCACUAUAGCAUAUCCUGGUGCUCAUAUAACUGCAUCAAAGUAUAUUCUUGUGGUCAUAAUCACAAGAUCAAAUAAUCAUACAUCAACAAUAACUGUAAAUCAGAUGAUCAACGCUGCAAUCUUGUAAAUCCAUUUUCAGGCCUCUACUGCUAGCCAAGAAAUUACACAUCUGCCACUACAGCUAAAGAUUCUGCCAAUCCAACUCUGAAAAAAAGCAGUUAUUACAAGUUAGCAGCAAUGGAAGAAACUUAGGCUUAAGGAUAGAUGACAUAUAUAGAGCAACAGUGGUUCACAUCUAGGCAAAUGCAUCAAGAAAUCCAUGCUCUAGAUAUAAGUUCUAUGACCAUUACAAAACAAAUGAAUUCUCUUUCCCUCUUCCCCUCUCAUAUCCUUCCAAGCAUAACAUGACACGCUUUGACUGUAAUAACAUAAAAAAUUUACCCUCACAAACACAUAACCACAUCUAGGGGUCUUGGGAAGGAAAGAAGGUAACUCACUCAUGCAGGUCCAAAAUCAAGGAAAAUAAACAGUUCAUCUCAUCUAAAACUAACAAACAUGAUCUUGGCAAUUCUAAGUUGUAAAAAAUUAUAAGAAAUCGAUACCCAAAGACAUUUCUCAAUGCAUUUUUUUCCUCAAAUAUCGUCCAAAACAAGAUAUAAGUUACCUGGGAUUGCAUUCCAAAUAGGUAAAUUUUGACCAUGUUAGCAUUCUGAUUCAAAGACUAGUCCUAAAAAUAUAUCACCUCAAAAUGUAAUUACCAAAUUUCUUGAAUAUUCAUCACCAACCAACAUCAAAGUUAUAAGCCAAAGGCCCAAAAGCUCUUGCGCCACCAAGUAAAUUCAUGGAUGGUCCAUUGACACUGCAUUUCAUCUCAUUUAUAACAAGUAAAUGUAUUCAUCAAAUUUCUCAGGCACCUGUUGAUGCUAGUCAUCAGAUUUGAUAGAAACAACCUGCAUUGAGUAAUUCACCUUCUCAACAUAUAACUCAGAUAAAGGACCUCAAUGGAUAUCUGCCAUAGAAAAAUUACCUUUCCACACCAAAGUAGUCUCCAGAUCACUCCACACUAUUUACCAUAUAUAACUACAACACCCAAAAUUACCUUAACCAGAUCAUCAAGUUUCUGAGUUGAUUCUCUCCUUCAUCUAUCUUUUAGGUGUAACAAAUAAUUCAGCUACCAAAACUAAUUUGGAUGCAACAUUACAUAUUUAAUUCUCAUCCUCCCUUGCACCAGAUUUUCAAGAUUCAGAUUUGAGACAACAAUUGUAUACUUUAAAUAUGUAGUUCAUAAAAUGAAAGAAAAUGCCAUAAGCCCGCAAAAGAAUGAAGCUAAGAUCCUAAUUUGAAGAUAGCAUAUUUCAUUCACAACAUCUGCACCUACCAUGGCUAUUUCAAUUUUUUUCGUUUUUUGGCGUGUUUAAGGUUAGGGGAAUAGGGAGAAAAAUCCACCAUAUAAAAGCUUGAAAACUUACCAACAAGGUCCAUGUCCAUGUUAUACCCAAUCAGCAUGGAGACACUGUCAGAAAUGAGAAACAUAUCCAUUAAAAUCGUGUGAUCUGCAGCAGCAUUUGAUAACUGGUUGACUGGGAAACCAACUGCUCUGAACUUGGUGAAGGUCAUAUCAGGUGGUUAAUAACAACUGGGUUGCCUAGCCCUUGUCUCAUCAUCUCUCAUCAUCUCUUUAGGAUUAUUAUUAUUAUUUGUUUCUGAGUCAGAGGACUCUCUAUAUGCACGAAUCAUAUCAAACGCUUCUUGUGAAGAUCACUCCAUAAAGGUUUUCUUUGGAAGUUUCUUUCUUCAGUUGAAAAUCCAGGAACUGUCAGAUGCCAAUUCUUCUCUAAGUGUAGCAAUAAAUCCUUGGAUUCUAAAGUUGAAGAUUUUCGGUGCUUGGCCAAACUGCAUGCAAACAUAGUCGCAGAAUCAAUAAAGUCAUCAGCAAUCUCCAAAAGAAGAUCUUCGACUUCAGGAUCUAGCUUUCCCUGUGAAUCUACCUGUGAAACCAAGUCCUGUAUCUUUCUCUUCCCAAGCAGUUGAUUAGUUGCUUCUGUUCCCUGGCUUGAACUCCCCCCAGGUGUAGUCGUACCAGAUGCUGUUGCAUCUGGUUGUGAUCCCGUCAAGCUAAGAGAUUUCUGGCCUGUGGGCCCUUGCAUCCUUGGAGAUUGCUGUUGCUGCUGCUGAUGUAAGGUUAAUUGUUGUUGCAAUUGUUGCUGUGGUUGCUGCUGUUGUAAUAGAUGUUGUUGUUGUUGCAACUGCUGUUGCUGCUGCUGUGGCUGCUGCUGCUGAUGAUGCAGUUGUUGGUGACCCAUUGAUGACUGAUGCUGUACCAGUUGGGAUAAUUGUUGUGGGUUUAAAGGCAUUGAAUUCUGGUGCAACUGAGGAGAUGAAGCCAAUUGCUGCUGCAAAAGAGCCAGCGACUGCCUCUGGUGCUGUUGAAGACGGAUUGGUAAGGCAGGACCAGAAAUUGCUGGCAUUUGCUUCAACCAUUGCUGCUGUGACAAAGAGUUCUGCAUCAUAGCUGGUUGUGCAUUCUGAGCCAGACUGGACAGCUGAGGGUUCAUAAAUGCCAAUGAUGAUUUCCUUGAUAGGUUUGGAACCUGAGGAGAGGUGAGUGGAUGUUGUUGUGCCAGUUGCUGUCUCAUUUGUCCAGCAUUUAUCCGUUGCUGAGCAUAACUUAGAGCACCAUUAGGCCUUAGUUGUGAGCUCAAAUUGAGUGACCCCAUCAUUCCCAUUGCUUGCAUUCCCUGCAAAGGCUGCCCCGGAGAAUUACCAGGAUGGAAUUGAGACCCUUGGACUAAACCAGCUUUCGAGGCCAACAAAUUCAACUGAGCUGCAGCUGCUGCUGCUGCCACUGCCCCUGCUCCAUUCAGCAUAGGCAGAUGCCCGCUCUGGCCAAUAAGUGCAGACCGCGAAAAGUUGGCACCACCCAUCUGUUGAUUCUGCGAAUUCUGCUGUAAAUUCUGUUGAAUUGAACCCGACCCACCAAAAUUCACUUGCCCAUAUAGUCCCUGUUGCUGCUGCUGCCUCAAGACACCACUGUAUUGAUUCUGCUGCUGUUGCUGUUGGUUAAUUUGGCUUAAACGAGAAAUAGAAGGAGAUCUUUGAAGAGAUUGUGGAAUUUGAUAGUUGGACGUGGCUGUGACAUUCUGUUGCUGCAAUUGCUGCUGCAGCUGCACAACAGGUUGCUGUUGUUGUUGAGAGGAAAGAGAAGGCGAUGAGAUUUGUGGAUCAACAGAUGGAGAUGCAAUUUUUGGAUUUUGAGGUAAAUUCGACAUGCUGGAUGUUGGUGUUUGUGCUUGUGGUUGUGGUGGUGUUAGAGCUACGGUGUUGGAGUUCGAAUUUGUUAACGCCGUGGGCUGUGGUUGUGAUUGUGGUUGCGGCUGAGAAGGAGGUGGUGGUGGUGAUGGGUCCAUCGGA
rnacentral:misc_RNA from 1 species